UACGAAGGGGGCUAGCGUUGCUCGGAAUUACUGGGCGUAAAGCGCACGUAGGCGGUUCUUUAAGUCAGGGGUGAAAUCCCGGAGCUCAACUCCGGAACUGCCUUUGAUACUGAGGGUCUCGAGUCCGGGAGAGGUGAGUGGAACUGCGAGUGUAGAGGUGAAAUUCGUAGAUAUUCGCAAGAACACCAGUGGCGAAGGCGGCUCACUGGCCCGGUACUGACGCUGAGGUGCGAAAGCGUGGGGAGCAAACAGG
rnacentral:rRNA from 1 species